UAACAAGAAAUAUUAACUAAAAUGAAUAAACAUUAAAUUAUAUAAUCAAUUAUUAAAUGUAGCUUGUAGUAUUAGUGGCAUCGAACAGCGGCUGGAAUUAGAUAAAAAUUAUUUAAAAUUACAUUUUAGUGGAUUUGCACGUGCAACAUUUACGACCAAUUCACAUGAGAAUCGAGAUUUCUCCAUAUUGGAAAGAUAGUGUUGUUUAUGAAUAUUGAGAAGAUACGAGGAGAGAAUACAAUAUUGUAGCUAUUAAGAAAGUAAGAAAUUAA